CUUUAAUACCUUCAAGGUGCGUCAUUCAUUUUUAAAACUCGAAGAGGUUAGACACGACACGAGUGCAUCUACUUGAUCAACAUGACGACGUCAUCUGAAGACAUCACGUACAUGUUCGAACAACAUGCGCAAGACCCGCUGGCAAACUUUGAUGAAGAUUAUCCAGAGUUGGCCAGACUCCACCGCGAACCAAAGAAGAGGAAGUCUGCCAAGCGAAAUGUUAGCGUGCAGUGCGGCUCAAAAAAAAUACGUCAUAAGGACACAUCAUCCUUCGUGCUACAAAACCACCACACCCCGGGCACUCGACUAAUUAGAGUCCAAGUUGUCGAUCUAGAGAACAGUCCUCAAGUUACUCAUGACAACGGGGACCCUGAGGAAAACAUUUUAAUGAGCGCCCAGUACGUGGUACAUAAGGAUUCCUAUGAUGAAGUGUUAACGCAGACAGAAGCACUUAUCGCAAACAUAUCAAAAAAGUUGUGUAAUUAUCAUUUCUAGUGCAAUAAAUAUUUUAUAUUUA